rnacentral:rRNA from 1 species
GACGAACGCUGGCGGCGUGCUUAAAAACAUGCAAGUCGAACGGACUUCUCAUGAAGCUUGCGAUUGAGAAGUUAGUGGCGGACGGGUGAGUAACGCGUGGGCAACCUGCCCCUGAGCCCGGGAUAACAGUUCGAAAGGACUGCUAAGACCGGAUAUACUUGCGGGGAAGCAUUUCACUGCAAGGAAAGGGAACGCUCAGGGAUGGGCCCGCGUCCCAUUAGCUAGUUGGUGAGGUAACGGCCCACCAAGGCGACGAUGGGUAGCCGGCCUGAGAGGGUGAACGGCCACACUGGGACUGAGACACGGCCCAGACUCCUACGGGAGGCAGCAGUUGGGAAUCUUCGGCAAUGGGCGCAAGCCUGACCGAGCAACGCCGCGUGAGUGAUGAAGGUUUUCGGAUUGUAAAGCUCUGUCUUCCGGGACGAUAAUGACGGUACCGGAGGAGGAAGCCACGGCUAACUACGUGCCAGCAGCCGCGGUAAGCAUACUCGUA